rnacentral:SRP_RNA from 1 species
GCUGGGUGUGGUGGCCUGAGCCUGUAAUCCCACCUACUCGGGAGGCUGAGGCAGGAGGACUGCUUGAGCCCAGGAGUUCUGGGCUGUAGUGUACUAUGCCCAUCAGGUGUCUGCACAAAGUUUGGCAUCAAUAUGGUGACCUCCCAGGAGCGGGGGACCACAAGGUUGCCUAAAGAGGGGUGAACAGGCCCAGGUCAGAAAUGGAGCAGGUCAAAACUCCUGUGCUGAUCAUAGUAUUUUGUACCUCAUAAUAUCCUACCCAUAUUUUGUCCCUCCCCACUUCACUCUACCCACUGGUAACCAUUACUUU